GGGCCCGCACAAGCGGUGGAGCAUGUGGUUUAAUUCGACGCAACGCGAAGAACCUUACCUGGUCUUGACAUCCAGAGAACUUAGCAGAGAUGCUUUGGUGCCUUCGGGAACUCUGAGACAGGUGCUGCAUGGCUGUCGUCAGCUCGUGUUGUGAAAUGUUGGUUAAGUCCCGCAACGAGCGCAACCCUUAUCCUUGUUUGCCAGCGAGUAAUGUCGGGAACUCCAGGGAGACUGCCGGUGAUAAACCGGAGGAAGGUGGGGACGACGUCAAGUCAUCAUGGCCCUUACGAGUAGGGCUACACACGUGCUACAAUGGCGCAUACAGAGGGCGGCUAGCCAGCGAUGGUAGCGAA
rnacentral:rRNA from 1 species